CCACUGUACAGCAAGGGGGUCAGGUUAUCCUUACAUGUAUACAUUACAAUUACAUUUUUCCCCCAGCCUUUCUUCUGUUGCAACAUGAGUAUCUAGACAUAGUUCUCAAUGCUAUUCAGCAGGAUCUCCUUGUAAAUCUGUUCUAAGUUGUGUCUGAUAAGCCCAAGCUCCUGAUCCCUCCCACUCCCUCACCCUCCCAUCAGGCAACCACAAGUCUCUUCUCCAAGUCCAUGAUUUUCUUUUCUGGGAGAUGUUCAUUGUGCUGGAUAUUAGAUUCCAGUUAUAAGGGAUAUCAUAUGGUAUUUGUCUUUGUCUUUCUGGCUCAUUUCACUCAGGAUGAGAUUCUCUAGUUCCAUCCAUGUUGCUGCAAAUGGCAUUAUGUCAUUCUUUUUUAUGGCUGAGUAGUAUUCCACUGUGUAUAUAUACCACUUCUUCCGAAUCCAAUCAUCUGUCGAUGGACAUUUGGGUUGCUUCCAUGUCCUGGCUAUUGUGAAUAGGGCUGCAAUGAACAUGCGGUGCAUGUGUCUCUUUUAAGUAGAGUUUGUCUGGAUAGAUGCCCAAGAGUGGGAUUGCGGGGUCAUAUGGAAGUUCUAUGUAUAGAUUUCUAAGGUAUCUCCAAACUGUUGUCCAUAGUGGCUGUACCAGUUUACAUUCCCACCAACAGUGCAGGAGGGUUCCCUUUUCUCCACAGCCCUCAAGCACUUGUUAUUUGUAGAUUUAUUAAUGAUGGCCAUUCUGACUGGUGUGAGGUGAUAUCUCAUGGUAGUUUUGAUUUGCAUUUCUCUUAUAACCAGUGAUGUUGAGCAUUUUUUCAUGUGUUUGUUGGCCAUCUGUAUAUCUUCUUUGGAGAAAUGUCUAUUCAGGUCUUUUGCCCAUUUUUCCAUUGAUUGAUUGGCUUUUUUGCUGUUGGGUUGUAUAAGUUGCUUAUAUAUUCUAGAGAUUAAGCCUUGUCAGUUGCAUCAUUUGAAACUGUUUUCUCCCAUUCUGUAAGUUGUCUUUUUGUUUUCUUUUUGUUUCCUUUGCUGUGCAAAAGCUUUUCAGUUUGAUGACCAUUUGGAGUUUAUUUUGUGCAUGGUGUGAGGGUGUGUUCUAGUUUCAUUGCUUUGCAUGCAGCUGUCCAGGUUUCCCAGCAAUGCUUGCUGAAUAGACUUUCUUUUUCCCAUUUUAGUUCUUGCCUCCCUUGUCAAAGAUUAAUUGACCAUAGGUGUCAGGGUUUAUUUCGGGUUCUCUAUUCUGUUCCAUUGGUCUGUCUGUCUGUUUUGAUACCAGUACCACACUGUUUUGAUGACUGUGGCUUUGUAGUAUUUCUUGAAGUCUGGGAGAGUUAUGCCUCCUGCUUGGUUUUUGUUUUUCAGGAUUGCUUUGGCGAUUCUGGGUCUUUUUUUGUUCCAUAUAAAUGUUUGGAUUGUUUGUUCUAGUUCUGUGAAAAAUGUCAUGGGUAAUUUGAUAGGGAUUGCAUUGAAUCUGUAGAUUACUUUGGGUAGUAUGGCCAUUUUACAAUAUUGAUUUUCCCAAUCCAGGAACAUGGAAUAUCUUUCCAUUUCUUUACAUCUUCUUUGAUUUCUUUGAUUAAAGUUUUAUAGUUCUCAGCAUAUAGGUCCUUUACCUCCUUGAUCAGGUGUAUUCCGAGGUAUUUGAUUUUGUGAGGUGCAAUUUUAAAAGGUAUCGUAUUUUUGUAUUCCUUUUCUAAUGUUUCAUUGCUGGUAUACAGAAAUGCAACUGACUUCUGAAUGUUAAUCUCAUAGCCUGCUACUUUGCUGAAUUUAUUAAUCAGUUCAAGGAGUUUUGGGUUGAGUCCUUAGGGUUUUCUAGUAUAGUAUCAUGUCAUCUGCAUACAGUGACAGUUUAUCUCUUCUCUUCCUAUAUGGAUGCCUUUAUUUCUUUUGUUUGUCUAAUUGCUGUGGCAGGACUUCCAAAACUAUGUUGAAGAGCAGUGGUGAGAGUGGGCAUCCCUGUCUUGUUCCAGAUUUGAGUGAGAAGGCUUUCAGUUUUUCCCCAUUGAGUAAUAUAUUUGCUGUGGGUUUAUCAUAAAUGGCUUUGAUUAUUCAGGAAUGUUCCCUCUAUACCCACUUUGGCGAGGGUCUUGAUCAUGAAUGGAUGUUGGACUUUGUCAAAUGCUUUUUCUGCGUCUAUUGAGAUGAUCAUAUGAUUUUUGACUUUUUUUUGUUAAUGUGGUGUAUGAUGCUGAUUGAUUUGCGUAUGUUGAACCAUCCUUGUGAACCUGGGAUGAACCCAACCUGGUCAUGGUGUGUAAUUUUUUUGGUAUGUUGUUGGAUUCGGUUGGCUAAGAUUUUGUUGAGAAUUUUUGCAUCUAUAUUCAUCAAUGAUAUUGGCCGAUAGUUUUCUUUUUUGGUGGUAUCUCUGUCUGGUUUUGGAAUUAGGGUGAUGGUGGCCUCAUAGAAUGUCUUUGGGAGUAUUCCUUCUUCUUCAACCUUUUGAAAGAGUUUAGGAGGAUGGGCACCAAUUCCUCUUUAUAUGUUUGAUAAAAUUCACUGUGAAGCCAUCUGGUCCUGGACUUUUAUUUGUAGGGAGUGAUUUUAUGACCUCUUCAAUUUCAGUUCUAGUGAUCGGUCUGUUCAGUUGGUCUGUUUCUGCUUGAUUCAGUUUUGGCAGGCUGUAAGAUUCUAGAAAAUUGUCCAUUUCUUCCAGAUUGUCAAACUUGUUGCAUACAGUUGUUCAUAGUAUUCUCUUAUGGUUUUUUGUAUUUCUGCUGUAUCCGUUGUAUUUCUCCUUUUUCAUUUAUAAUUUGGUGAUUUGGGUUCUUUCUCUCCUCUUUUUAGUGAGUCUGGCCAGGGGUUUAUCAAUUUUGUUCACCUUUUCAAAGAACCAGCUCUUGGUUUUAUUAAUUUUCUCUAUUGUUUUUUGAGUCUCUAUUUUAUUGAUUUCUUCUUUGAUCUUUAUAAUUUCCUUCCUUCUGCUGACUUUAGGACUUUUUUGUUCUUUUUCUAAUUCAUUUAGGUGGAGGGUUAAGUUGUCAAUUUGGGAUCUUUCUUCUUUUUUGAGAAAGGCCUGUAUUGCUAUAAAUUUCCCUCUGAGCACUGCUUUCGCAGCAUCCCAUAGAUUUUGAGAGGUUGUGUAUUCAUUAUCAUUUGUUUCAAGGUAGUUUUUAAUUUCCUUCUUGAUUUCCUCAUUGACCAUUGGUUUUUUAGUAGCAUGUUGUUUAGUCUC
rnacentral:lncRNA from 9 species